CGGAGUGUAGCGCAGUCUGGUAGCGCAUCUGGUUUGGGACCAGAGGGUCG
rnacentral:tRNA from 1 species